rnacentral:lncRNA from 1 species
GUAAAAGACCAAUUGUCUAGAAGAAUAGUAGCAAAGCAAUCAUUUACGAACCAGAUGAACAAAAAUACUCGAGUACUUGAAAGGACAAAUAUCAAACUCUUUACUAAACUCUAAAACAAGCACAAGAGCACAAUCUAGUUGAAAAUUAUGCAACUUGAACAUGAGAUCACCCCACCGAUUGAUCGCACAACUUUCACACGACACUCAAACGUGGACCACUAGUUUGACGUGUACUUCACCGGACCACUCUGAAGCCAUCUUGUAGAUACAAAAAAAAAAUUAGGAAUUCUCUCUGUUCUUGAAAAUAGAAUUUUCUAAAUUUAUUUUUUGUUUC